rnacentral:rRNA from 1 species
AUCUAUGGCCAUACUACCCUGAAUGUGCCUGCUCUUGCAUGAUCUUGUGAGCUAAGCAGGGUUGGACCAGGUUAGUACUUGGAUGGGAGAAAUGUUAGAACAGUGCCUUUCUAUC